AUACAUGGCAGGGGAGAUACCAUGGUCAUGAAGGUAGUUUUUUCAGAGUGGGGGUAAUCUGCUGCACUCCAGAUGUGCUGACUCCCUACAAUUUUCCCCAAAUGUGUGAAACUUGAUUGCAUAAUUUGCGGUAGUGAAAGAUUUGCAUUCACCCUCUCC